UACAGAGGGGGCAAGCGUUGUUCGGAAUUACUGGGCGUAAAGGGCGCGUAGGCGCCUUCUAAGUCGAACGUGAAAUCCCCGGGCUCAACCCGGGAACUGCGUCCGAUACUGGAAGGCUUGAAUCCGGGAGAGGAACGCGGAAUUCCAGGUGUAGCGGUGAAAUGCGUAGAUAUCUGCAGGAACACCCGUGGCGAAAGCGGCGCGCUGGACCACUACUGACGCUGAGGAGCGAAAGCGUGGGGAGCAAACAGG
rnacentral:rRNA from 1 species